CACGUAGGGCGCAAGCGUUGUCCGGAAUUAUUGGGCGUAAAGAGCUCGUAGGCGGUCUGUUGCGUCCGCUGUGAAAACUCGGGGCUUAACCCCGAGCCUGCAGUGGAUACGGGCAGACUAGAGGUAGGUAGGGGAGAAUGGAAUUCCCGGUGUAGCGGUGAAAUGCGCAGAUAUCAGGAAGAACACCCGUGGCUAAGGCGGCUCUCUAGUACGGUACUGACGCUGAGACGCGAAAGCGUGGGGAGCGAACAGG
rnacentral:rRNA from 1 species